GAGGAGGACAUUAGGUCCCCCCCCUUAUUCUUGUUUAGGGCCCCCUUGUGGGUGGGGGCCCUAAACAAGAAUAAGGGGGGGACCUAAUGUCCUCCCCCCUGGCCCCCAC